rnacentral:rRNA from 1 species
GACGAACGCUGGCGGCGUGCCUAAUACAUGCAAGUCGAACGCUUCUUUCCUCCCGAGUGCUUGCACUCAAUUGGAAAGAGGAGUGGCGGACGGGUGAGUAACACGUGGGUAACCUACCCAUCAGAGGGGGAUAACACUUGGAAACAGGUGCUAAUACCGCAUAACAGUUUAUGCCGCAUGGCAUAAGAGUGAAAGGCGCUUUCGGGUGUCGUUGAUGGAUGGACCCGCGGUGCAUUAGCUAGUUGGUAAGGUAACGGCUCACCAAGGCCACGAUGCAUAGCCGACCUGAGAGGGUGAUCGGCCACACUGGGACUGAGACACGGCCCAGACUCCUACGGGAGGCAGCAGUAGGGAAUCUUCGGCAAUGGACGAAAGUCUGACCGAGCAACGCCGCGUGAGUGAAGAAGGUUUUCGGAUCGUAAAACUCUGUUGUUAGAGAAGAACAAGGACGUUAGUAACUGAACGUCCCCUGACGGUAUCUAACCAGAAAGCCACGGCUAACUACGUG